UCGCAAGGCUAAAACCCAAAGGAAUUGACGGGGGCCCGCAUAAGCAGCGGAGCGUGUGGUUUAAUUCGAUGCAACGCGAAGAACCUUACCUGGGCUUGACAUGUACGUAGUAGUGAAGGGAAACCGGAACGAGCCUUCGGGCAGCGUAGACAGGUGCUGCAUGGCUGUCGUCAGCUCGUGUCGUGAGAUGUUGGGUUAAGUCCCGCAACGAGCGCAACCCGUGUUGCUAGUUACAAGUGUCUAGCGAGACUGCCGGUAACAAGCCGGAGGAAGGUGCGGAUGAUGUCAAGUCAGCAUGGCCUAUAUGUCCAGGGCUACACACACGCUACAAUGGCUGGUACAAAGAGAAGCGAAAGGGAGACCUGAAGCGAAUCUCAUCAAAGCCAGUCAUAGUUCGGAUUGCAGGCUGCAACUCGCCUGCAUGAAGUCGGAGUUGCUAGUAACCGCAGGUCAGCAAUACUGCGGUGAAUACGUUCCCGGGCCUUGUACACAC
rnacentral:rRNA from 1 species